AUGCUCGCCACUCAUGAGGUCGAUGAUCUGACGGACAAUGGAGCACCUCGACUUUACAAAGCUAGGAGCAUGGUCAUCGACGCAUGUGGAUUGGAUCAAUAUUUGGUCACAAGUGUGUGGUCGUUGCUACUGAUGUGCCCUGAUCUAAUAUCACUUCGCAUCUGUUUGAGAGGGUGGGGAGAUCGAUCAUCCAAGGACCAAGAUACACGGACGGACAAUCGUAAUAUAUCGUUGGAAUUUCUGGAAGAGGUAAGAUUAACUAGCUUCACAGGAACAGAUGAGGAAAUGGACCUCGUGAGAUUGUUGUUCGGAAGCUCGAGUUCAAUCAAGAGCAUGACUAUAAGUACCCCUGAAAAGGAGGUAGCUGAUAACUGUUCGGGAGACUUUUUGCUAGAUUCUGACGACGACUAUCCUUAUUAUCACCGACUGCUGAAAAUUGCUCCACUAAGUCACCUCAGUCGUUGGCAUUACAAGAGAUUUGAAUAUACUUGGACGCGAUAUGCAACAGAGGACGCACGAGCGGUGGACGCUGAAGCCAAUUCUCCCAGUCCAAGAACAGUGAGGGCUGUGAAUAUUGGAAAAGGAAAGAAAAAUCAAAGCUAGCUAGGGUCAU
rnacentral:lncRNA from 1 species